CAGCUCCCUCCUGUUUCUGCAAAUAGUUUUUUCCUUCUUGUUUUUGUACAUUAUGAAGUACUUCACCAGUGGAACUGAAAGGAAGCCUACGGUCUGUGUUAUUCAGAGGUGAAUGUGGUAGUUAUUAAGGGCAAGUGUUAUGAGCAAACUGAGUAUGAUAACCAGGGGCAAACAAAGCUCAUUUUCUCACAAUUAAGGAAAAAAAAAAAAAAAAAAAAAAAAAAAGCCCUUUUAAAUUCUGAUAUCAUUUUCCCAUAAAA